rnacentral:siRNA from 1 species
GAAAUACAUUGGUGUACCCUAUGC